rnacentral:lncRNA from 1 species
UUUGAAUAAUUAAUUUAGUUGAGGGACCAAAAUGUAAAUCAUGUAUAGGUUUGAGGACCAUUUGAGUAAUUUACCCUAUAAAUAUUUUAGACUAUGGUGGCUAGUGAGUGUUUUAGUUUUUAUUUUUUAUUUUAUUUUAUCGGAACUGAACGAUGUUAUAUCGGAGUUAAGUAGGUAGACACUUGUCAAAAAAUUAGAGAAAGGACAUGGAGGGACAUUGAAAAUUGGGACAGCAGAUCUGCUCCCCUUCCUAGCUGUUGUGUGAUUCGAAAUGCGGUUGCACCACUCUAUCUAUUUAAGCUGUCUUGGCCAGGUAGGCAAUUUGUAAAGAUCUGAC